CCUACGGGCGGCAGCAGUAAGGAAUAUUGGCCAAUGGACGGAAGUCUGAACCAGCCAUCCCGCGUGCAGGAAGAAGGUCCUAUGGAUUGUAAACUGCUUUUAGCAGAGACGAAACGCCUUCAUUUAUGGGGGUUUGACGGUAUCUGCGGAAUAAGCACCGGCUAACUCCGUGCCAGCAGCCGCGGUAAUACGGAGGGUGCAAGCGUUAUCGGGAAUCACUGGGGUUAAGGGGGGCGAUGAAGGGAGAGUUGAAAGCCUGUAGCUUAACUACAGAAUUGCCAUUGAUACUGAUUUUCUUGAAUUGGGUUGAGGUUAGCGGAAUGUGACAUGUAACGGUGAAAUGUUUAGAUAUGUCAUGGAACACCGAUUGCGAAGGCAGCUAGCUGGGCCUUGAUUGACGCUGAGGCACGAAAGCGUGGGUAGCGAACAGGAUUAGAUACCCGAGUAGUC
rnacentral:rRNA from 1 species